UUAAGUGUAGCUUAGAGGUAGAGUGUUCGUUUUUCAUGUGAAAGGCACUGGGUUUGAUCCCCAGCUCUUCCAAA